rnacentral:rRNA from 1 species
AUUGAACGCUGGCGGCAGGCCUAACGCAUGCAAGUCGAGCGGAUGAAGGGAGCUUGCUCCUGGAUUCAGCGGCGGACGGGUGAGUAAUGCCUAGGAAUCUGCCUGGUCGUGGGGGAUAACGUCCGGAAACGGGCGCUAAUACCGCAUACGUCCUGAGGGAGAAAGUGGGGGAUCUUCGGACCUCACGCUAUCAGAUGAGCCUAGGUCGGAUUAGCUAGUUGGUGGGGUAAAGGCCUACCAAGGCGACGAUCCGUAACUGGUCUGAGAGGAUGAUCAGUCACACUGGAACUGAGACACGGUCCAGACUCCUACGGGAGGCAGCAGUGGGGAAUAUUGGACAAUGGGCGAAAGCCUGAUCCAGCCAUGCCGCGUGUGUGAAGAAGGUCUUCGGAUUGUAAAGCACUUUAAGUUGGGAGGAAGGGCAGUAAGUUAAUACCUUGCUGUUUUGACGUUACCAACAGAAUAAGCACCGGCUAACUUCGUG